rnacentral:lncRNA from 1 species
AUUUAUUCAUCCUUUUAGGGUAUUAAUAUUUACAAAAGAAUAAUAUGGCUAUUUUAACUACUAUGACUACUCUUCUAUGCUAUGUGUAAGCUGGAAAAUUUUGAAAGUAAAGAGCCCAUCUACAUGGUGAGCAAGAACCAUCUCUGGAGAAGUCCUGCAUACUUAUGUCCCCCCCUAUAUUUGAGAGACGAGAUGCGAUUUCGCAUGGUCUUGUCUAUUGUAGCACGCAUGGUCUCAACUGUCAUCCAGCUUGUGUGAU